UCUCCGUAGGUGAACCUGCGGAGGGAUCAUUACAGAGUUCAUGCCCUACCGGGUAGAUCUCCCACCCUAUGUUAUUAUUACUUUGUUGCUUUGGCGGGCCGUUAGGCUCCGGCCCGACUACCGGCCCCGGCUGGUAAGCGCCCGCCGGAGGACCCAAAACCCUGAAUAUUAGUGUCGUCUGAGUACUAUAUAAUAGUUAAGACUUUCAACAACGGAUCUCUUGGUUCUG
rnacentral:misc_RNA from 1 species